GUUGAAACACUUGUUCUCAUACGAUCACCGAAGUUAAGCAACGUCGAGCCAGGUCCUUACCUGGAUGGGUGAUCGCUUGGGAAUACCAUGUGCUGCAAG